rnacentral:rRNA from 1 species
AUACAGAGGGUGCAAGCGUUAAUCGGAUUUACUGGGCGUAAAGCGCGCGUAGGUGGCUAAUUAAGUCAAAUGUGAAAUCCCCGAGCUUAACUUGGGAAUUGCAUUCGAUACUGGUUAGCUAGAGUAUGGGAGGGGAUGGUAGAAUUCCAGGUGUAGCGGUGAAAUGCGUAGAGAUCUGGAGGAAUACCGAUGGCGAAGGCAGCCAUCUGGCCUAAUACUGACUCUGAGGGGCGAAAGCAUGGGGAGCAAACUGGAUGAGAUACCCUGGUAGGCCAUGCCGUAAACGAUGUCUGCUGGCCGUUGGGGCCCUGGAGGCUUUAGUGGCGCAGCUAACGCGAUAAGUAGACCGCCUGGGGAGUACGGUCGCAAGACUAAAACUCAAAUGAAUUGACGGGG